rnacentral:lncRNA from 1 species
AAUACAGGGUUCUCUUGAACCAAGAAGAGAAAUGCCAGACCCAGACUGGGAAGGACAGGAUGACUUCCUGAAAAGACAAUACUCAGGCUGAGACCUGAAGAUUCACUCAGAAUUCGUUCUAUGAAGAGUACAAGGAGGGACUGUCAUCCUCAGUGAAGAGAGCCAUAUGGAUGAAGACCCAGAGUCAUUGCUCUGGAGGCAGCAAACUGCCAUGUUGUGAGUAGCCUAUCAGGCAUAUGUGCCAAGGAACUGAUGUCUCUGACCAACGACCAGUGAGGACUUGAGGCCUAUAAACAGCAACACAAGUGAGUCUGUGAGCAGAUCCCCUAGUAUUUGGCCUUGAGAUGAUCACAGCCCUAGCUGACACUUUACAGCCUUGUGACCCUGAGUCAGAGGCCCCCAGCUACGCCUCAGAAACUAUGAGAUGGUAAAUAUAUGUUGUUUGAGUGGCUAAAUUUUGGGGUAAUUUGUUACACAGCAAUUGUUAACUAACAACUCCACUGGAAUGUAAGCUCCAUGGAGGAACUGACUUGACUUGUUUGGCACUCUAUCCCAAGCAGGUAGAAUAAUGCCUGGCACACAGAGGCACUCAAUAAACACUGAGCAUGAGUAAUGAAUAUUAGAGUUGGGUGGAGGACACUUAGUUUCCCAAAAUAUGUGGAUGGAAGUUUCAGCCAAUGUUGAUGUUUGAAGCUAAGGCUGUUCAGGGUCAAAGGUGACUCCAGAGGUCUCAGGAGUAGUCAAGUAACAGACAUCUGGUAAUGCCAGACUCAGUACUAAUCUCUUGACCAUAAUUAUUGAUGCUGGUGUACGUUGCUUAGCAAACCUUCACUGAGUGCCUGGACAAGCUCAAGCUGAGGGUGGGGAAAAACAUUACAGCCUCUGUGUGCGUUUGGAAUAAUGACCCAAACCUCCCACACUUUCCUCAUCUGUAAAGACCUCCAGGGCUGUUGGUAAUCCAGAGAAUAAAAUAAAUAAUGGGCUAUGGUUUGUUCUCAAUAAGUGGUGCUCUCCUUCCUCACAGGGAGCUUAUUAUAUGAGGAGAUAAGAUUCAUACAUAAGAAAGAUAAAUAACAUGGGGUGUAAUGUUUUGUUAAGUACCAGAUGUUUUUGAGGCAGGAGCUAUAAUGGAAUAAUGAAUUAUUUGCUGGUUCUCCCUUCCGUAGUGCGGGGUGUUGGGUGCACAUGUGUCACUUGG